CUAUAAGCAUUUAUACAGUGAAACUGCGAAUGGCUCAUUAAAUCAGUUAUCGUUUAUCUGUUAGUUCCUUUACUACAUGGUAUAACUGUGGUAAUUCUAGAGCUAAUACAUGCUUAAAAUCUCGACCCUUUGGAAGAGAUGUAUUUAUUAGAUAAAAAAUCAAUGUCUUCGGACUCUUUGAUGAUUCAUAAUAACUUUUCGAAUCGCAUGGCCUUGUGCUGGCGAUGGGUCAUUCAAAUUUCUGCCCUAUCAACUUUCGAUGGCAGGAUAGUGGCCUACCAUGGUUUCAACGGGUAACGGGGAAUAAGGGUUCGAUUCCGGAGAGGGAGCCUGAGAAACGGCUACCACAUCCAAGGAAGGCAGCAGGCGCGCAAAUUACCCAAUCCUAAUUCAGGGAGGUAGUGACAAUAAAUAACGAUACAGGGCCCAUUCGGGUCUUGUAAUUGGAAUGAGUACAAUGUAAAUACCUUAACGAGGAACAAUUGGAGGGCAAGUCUGGUGCCAGCAGCCGCGGUAAUUCCAGCUCCAAUAGCGUAUAUUAAAGUUGUUGCAGUUAAAAAGCUCGUAGUUGAACUUUGGGCCCGGUUGGCCGGUCCGAUUUUUUCGUGUACUGGAUUUCCAACGGGGCCUUUCCUUCUGGCUAACCUUGAGUCCUUGUGGCUCUUGGCGAACCAGGACUUUUACUUUGAAAAAAUUAGAGUGUUCAAAGCAGGCGUAUUGCUCGAAUAUAUUAGCAUGGAAUAAUAGAAUAGGACGUUUGGUUCUAUUUUGUUGGUUUCUAGGACCAUCGUAAUGAUUAAUAGGGACGGUCGGGGGCAUCAGUAUUCAAUUGUCAGAGGUGAAAUUCUUGGAUUUAUUGAAGACUAACUACUGCGAAAGCAUUUGCCAAGGACGUUUUCAUUAAUCAAGAACGAAAGUUAGGGGAUCGAAGAUGAUCAGAUACCGUAGGUAGUCUUAACCAUAAACUAUGCCGACUAGGGAUCGAAAAGGUUUUUUUUAAUGACCCACUCGGCACCUUACGAGAAAUCAAAGUCUUGGGU
rnacentral:rRNA from 1 species